UUCGAGUGGCGGACGGGUGAGUAACGCGUGGGUAACCUGCCUUACACAGGGGGAUAACACCUGGAAACAGGUGCUAAUACCGCAUAAGCGCACAGGGCCGCAUGGCCCGGUGUGAAAAACUCCGGUGGUGUAAGAUGGACCCGCGUCUGAUUAGCUUGUUGGCGGGGUAGGGGCCCACCAAGGCGACGAUCAGUAGCCGGCCUGAGAGGGUGGACGGCCACAUUGGGACUGAGACGCGGCCCAAACUCCUACGGAAGGCAGCAG
rnacentral:rRNA from 1 species